AAAACAGUCUGAAAGGCUCCGACACAUCGUUUGUAAACCUUGUCUAAACUAAUUCCAUCUACAAACAGAUCAUCCAUCGGGACAUCAUACCGGAAAACCUUUGUUUCCCGGUCCGGUGAAGCUGGCCGACCUGGGCUACAGUCGGAAGGUGCUGAUGAACUCCGUCCAUCUAAAGGGCUGGGCGGGCACACCGGUCUACAUGCCCCCCCGAGAUCCUCUUAGGAGAAACCAAGUACAGCACACCGGUCGAUGUUUGGGCCAUCGGCUGCACCAUUCUGGCCAUGGCCAAACCCCAGAAACCUUGUCGUGACCUUACCUAUCGGGCUCUGGUCCGAGACACUGUUGCCACUGUCGCUACAGCGGUGUCGUUAUCUGGUCCAGUGAAGGUACCUGCCUCUGGUACGAACUCGGAGCCCAAAGAGAAGUACAAGGUGCCUGACAAGCAGCUGGCUGAACUC